GAAAAAGUGUGAAAAAACAUGACACAAGAAGCCAGGGUGACAAGCAUGUAAAGAUCCCAGGGUGGUAGGCCUGUGCUAAGAUGAUGCUUGAGUUGGGAACUGGAGAGUGAGUGGGGUGGGAGAUGUUUCCCCGGGCAGAGUCACGUCAGCCCCAGUGGAGACAGGACCAGGGAGGGUCUAUGCAGGGAAGAGGGGUCCAUGUGAGCAGAGCCUGUGGCAGUUGAAAAUGGACAGCCAGGUGUGUCUGAGAGCAGGAAAUCCUUGGGACCUCAUUUAAAAGUUGCAGCUGUGUGUGGGAAGGUUGCUUCCACCUGUCUUUAAGCCUGGCGCCAGCUGGCAGAAGCUUCCUUGAAGAUCUCGGACCCUCUCCAGCUUUCUGGAGUUUAACUGAGGAAGGGCCCUGGCUGGUGUGCCCUGAAAUUCAUGUCUGGGUUUGUGCACAAGGCCACACUUCUUGUCUGCCUGCUCCCAGCUAACCACUGGUGGAGACACGGGUAUUAAGGCAGGUGGGUGCCAAGGAGAACUGGGCCCCCUGGGAUGGGUCACUUUGGAGUAGGACUCGCCCACAAUCUUCCGGAGGCUGCCAGGAGGUCAGGACGGUUGCUGCUGUCUCCUUAACUGGGGUCAGACUUGCAGGACGCCUGCCUCUCCGGGAUCCCUUCACAUUUCAUCCCACCGCCAUCCCCCCUAAGCAAAUCCUUCAGUAUCUACCCCUGCUUUGGUGCCUGCUUUUUGAAGGACCCACACUAGUACACGGACUAAAUCUUCCCCCUUCCUUCUCUCUCCGGGACAGCCUUUGUAAAGGCAGAGACACCGAUCAUGGCAACAAAGCCUUCAUUCCUGGUUCUCCCGAGCGUCCUACCCCUUUCUCCAUCACCCCGGCCCUCUGGAUUCCUCAGGCAGAGCACGGAGUUCACAGGAAGGCGCUUACUCGAAGCUCGCGGAGUUCUCGCUGUUGAUUAGUUGGGGACGUCCUAGAAAGAAAGGGCAGUAGGCGAUCGCGAGAAACAGAACUGAAGCUCCUCAGAGCCUCUAGAAUGCCAGCCACCUAGCCAUUUCAAAACCAUCUUAACCAUCUGCCGACCUGCAAACCCCAGCUGCACUAGCGGAAUGGGAGAGGCGUCUUAUGCUCAGAGAAAGCCUGGGGCCACCAGCAUGAAAUGGGGAGUGCACCAAGGCCGAGCACAACUCAGCAGCCCUAGAGGGCUGUCCACACUCACCUGGCGGGAGAAGCUGGGCAGGGAGCUUACCUCUCUCCUCUCCAUCUACCUGAAUCAGAGCUCAUUCAAAGAUGGUAAGGAAUCCGCCUGCAAGGCAGGAGACCCUGGUCUGAUCCCUGGCGAAGGAAUAGGCAACCCGCUCCGGUAUUCUUGCCUGGAGAAUCCCCAUGAACAGAGGAGCCAAGGCGAGCUGCAGUCCAUGGGUUCAUAAAGAGUUGGACACAGCUGAGCGACUCA
ensembl:lncRNA